CGCGAAUGGCUCAUUACAACAGCCGUUGUUUCUUGGAUCUCCGCAAUACUUGGAUAACUGUGGUAAUUCUAGAGCUAAUACACGCAAUCGAGCUCCGACCGUAAGGGACGAGCGCAUUUAUUAGAACAAAACCAAUCAGUGCUUGCACUGUGGUUUGGUGAAUCUGAAUAACUGAGCAGAUCGCUUCGGUCUCGUACCGGCGAUGUAUCCUUCAAGUGUCUGCCUUAUCAACUUUCGAUGGUAGUUUAUGUGCCUACCAUGGCUUUUACGGGUAACGGAGGAUUAGGGUUCGAUUCCGGAGAGGGAGCCUGAGAAACGGCUACCACAUCCAAGGAAGGCAGCAGGC
rnacentral:rRNA from 1 species